rnacentral:rRNA from 1 species
GACGAACGCUGGCGGCGUGCUUAACACAUGCAAGUCGAACGGAAAGGCCCUGCUUUUGUGGGGUGCUCGAGUGGCGAACGGGUGAGUAACACGUGAGUAACCUGCCCUUGACUUUGGAAAAAUUUCGGAAAAUGGGGCUAAAAACGGAAAGGGGCUCCCGCUGCAAGGGGGGGGUUGGGAAGUUUUGGCCGGUUGGGGUUGGAUCCCCGGCUUUUCAGCUUGUGGGUGGGGUAGUGGCUUACCAAGGCUUUGACGGGUAGCCGGCCUGAGAGGGUGACCGGCCACAUUGGGACUGAGAUACGGCCCAGACUCCUACGGGAGGCAGCAGUGGGGAAUAUUGCACAAUGGGCGGAAGCCUGAUGCAGCAACGCCGCGUGCGGGAUGACGGCCUUCGGGUUGUAAACCGCUUUCGCCUGUGACGAAGCGUGAGUGACGGUAAUGGGUAAAGAAGCACCGGCUAACUACGUG